UACGAAGGGGGCUAGCGUUGUUCGGAAUUACUGGGCGUAAAGCGCGUGUAGGCGGGUCUUUAAGUCAGGGGUGAAAUGCCAAGGCUCAACCUUGGAACUGCCUUUGAUACUGGAGAUCUUGAGUCCGGGAGAGGUGAGUGGAAUUGCGAGUGUAGAGGUGAAAUUCGUAGAUAUUCGCAAGAACACCAGUGGCGAAGGCGGCUCACUGGACCAUAACUGACGCUGAGGCGCGAAAGCUAGGGGAGCAAACAGG
rnacentral:rRNA from 1 species